rnacentral:rRNA from 1 species
GACAAGUGUGAUCAAGUUAAGAGAUAGCAGUAUAAAAUAGGGUUUGAGGUAGAUUAAAUAUAAGUAAAGUAAAAAGAUGAGAUUAAUUGAAGGGGUUCAAUCUGUACAAUUAAUUCAGAAAAUUCAUGGCUGUUUAUUUUCUUUAAUUCCUGAAAAUUAGUAUAAAAACCGGGAUUAGAUACCCCGUUAUUCUAAAUGUAAAAGGUCAGUUUAUGUACUGGAGGACUACGAGUCUGCUUUAUUGUGUUAAGUAAAGUUAAUUAGCUAUGUAGAAUAGUUUCAAAUAGAUUUAAAACUCAAAAGAUUUGGCGGUGUUUUAUAUCUUUCUAGGGGAACCUGUUGCGUAAUCGAUAAUCCACGUAUUACCUUACUUUGCCUUGAAAAUGCUUGUUAAUAGUAUAUUUAACAGCCUGUAUACCGUCGUCGUCAGGUUACCCUUAAGGGUUUGAGGAGUUGGCUAAUAGAUAAGUUACAGAGAAAGUAAAAGUCUGGAUGUCAGAUCAAGGUGCAGCUUAUGGCAAAGGGCUAAUGGGUUACAAUGGUUAUUUACUGCGGAGUUUCUUGUUAAAAAAGUUAUGAAGUUGGACUUAGAAGUAAUUUUGGAAGUAGUGAGCUAGAAUGAAUAGAGCCCUGAAAUGUGC